rnacentral:rRNA from 1 species
AACGGGACUCUUCGGAGUUUAGUGGCGGACGGGUGAGUAACGCGUGAGAAUCUGCCCUUAGGUUGGGGACAACAGUUGGAAACGACUGCUAAUACCCAAUGUGCCGAGAGGUGAAAGGUUAACUGCCUGGGGAUGAGCUCGCGUCUGAUUAGCUAGUUGGAGUGGUAACGGCACACCAAGGCGACGAUCAGUAGCUGGUCUGAGAGGAUGAUCAGCCACACUGGGACUGAGACACGGCCCAGACUCCUACGGGAGGCAGCAGUGGGGAAUUUUCCGCAAUGGGCGAAAGCCUGACGGAGCAAGACCGCGUGAGGGAGGAAGGCCUAUUGGUUGUAAACCUCUUUUGAUAGGGAAGAACACAAUGACGGUACCUAUCGAAUCAGCAUCGGCUAACUCCGUGCCAGCAGCCGCGGUAAUACGGAGGAUGCAAGCGUUAUCCGGAUUUAUUGGGCGUAAAGCGUCCGUAGGUGGCAAACCAAGUCAGUUGUUAAAGCGUAGAGCUUAACUCUAUAAGGGCAAUUGAAACUGGUUAGCCAGAGUGCGAUAGGGGCAAGGGGAAUUCCCAGUGUAGCGGUGAAAUGCGUAGAUAUUGGGAAGAACAUCGGUGGCGAAGGCGCCUUGCUGGGUCUGCACUGACACUGAGGGACGAAAGCUAGGGGAGCGAAAGGGAUUAGAUACCCCUGUAGUCCUAGCCGUAAACGAUGGAUACUAGGCGUUGUCCGUAUCGACCCGAGCCGUGCCGAAGCA